rnacentral:lncRNA from 1 species
GUUCUGUCAAAGUAUCAAGAGGGAAAUUCUCUGGUCCUGUGCAUCCUGCAACUCUUAAUGGCCCAUUUUAAAGAGAGAACAGAAUCCCUUCUAAUUGAAGCUGAUGUAGCAGUAACUGCAACCGACAUGGAAAGAAAUGGAUUACCGGAUUCACCCGCACUGAUCUUUCAAGGUAAUGUGUCUUACUUUCGGUCUCUAUUAUACACACUGUUCUUUGCUUUCUAUUUCUAUUAUAUUUAUAUUUUUGCCACCUCUGUUCAUGUAUUCUACUUCACAGUUCUAUUCUCACUCCUAUAUUCCUUCCAUUUGUUAUUGUCUCUGAACCACUCUCUCUCAUUCGUAACCAUGGUCUUCAUUAUCUUUUAGUUUAUAGUAUCAUAGUAUCAGUGUCUUUAUUAGUUAACACGAACUACCCAUAAACCAUGCUUUUACAACACUUAUUAAUCUAUGUCCUUCUGUAUUUCUUUUACAAGUGAAUCCAUGACCCCAAGCAUGUGGAUGUUGUCAGUCGAAAGGGAAGUUGUCUUUGGCCCAUGUUCAGAGGCAUUUGUUGAGGGCCUGGCAGCAUUGUUUGCAACCUAUUACAACUUAAACCUUGCUUAUCAGGAUGAAGCUGCAUGCACCCUCAAAAUUAUUCAGAGAGGAAUUGUGGGCAUUAACCUGGAAAAUGGAUCAAAAGUUGCUGGAAAGAGAGACAAGAAAAUUAAAGUAAUGAACCCACAUGUAUGCACACUGCUGCGGAAGCUAAUGGACUUUGAAUGGCUUGCCAUUUAAAAAAAAAUUUUCCAAUGGAAUGGUUAAUGUAC